GAAGCUGCAGGUCUCUCGUGUUUCCCAGAAUCCCAGUUUAGAUCUUGUUGGCAUCUGGAAGGCAGAGAGUGGCAGGGGUCAGGAAGGCAAAGAAACAUCAAGUUGAAUCAUUCCUAUUAUUCCCUAUUUCUGGGAAAUGCAGACCACUGGGGUUUUUAUUUCUGGUUUUUACCCCUGGAAUUUCUUUUCCCCCAGGGAAAGAGAGCUUGGGUCGAAACCCUGCAAAGCAAGUGAUCACAUUUUUUCUUCUGUUUUUCGGACUCAAAUAGCUGGAUGGAAUCAGUAAAGACUCUAAGAAGUUCCUGGUGAACAGGGAAGUUGCAGCAGGAGGUCCAAGACUUUCAGAAAAUAAAAAUUCAACAGGGAAAAAGCUAUUUUAGAAAAGCCCCAACAAUGAGAUCUUCAACUGGCAUUUGCAAUCAGCCACGGACAGAAAUACAUCCAAAACUAGGCUUCCUUAUUUUUUCAUUCUUGCUUCUCAUAUCAAUGCCAUCAGUAGUACUGCUUAUAACCAAUUUGCAAGAGAAAUGUCUCUCAGCAGCAGGUUGAAUUCUUUAUUACAUCUAUUUCAGUAUCAAACCAUCCCAAGAAUCCUUCUGAGACUGAGCUUCUCCCAGUGCACCAUGGAGAUGCAGUGCACCUUUUAAUCAGGAGGGACAUCUCUAUUUAGUUUGCAGACUUCAAAAUUUCCUCUGUUCAAAAUGCUGUGUUGCUACCUGAGUGAAACCAGAGAUAAAACUCCAGCUGAUACCAUGGAUUCAGGAAUCGACAGAUAAUUAAUUUUUAAAACUUGGGACUGAGUAAUGCAUUUCCUUUGUGGUUUGAUUUUUUUAUCUGUUUUUCUUAUAAACCAAACUUCACCCUCUCACCACUUAAAUUGAAACCAUGUCUUUCUGGAAGAGGAUGGUGUAGGGACUAAAAUACUCUCCUGGGGCACUCUGCUGGGCAUGUCUUGGCUCCUAUGCAGUGUCCUGAUGUGAGCAGUUUUUACAUAGGAUAUUAAGUCUCUGGAUCUAGGAUUAGGAAGGCAAGGUCCAUAGAGGUUCAGUGAAAGGUCCAGGUGACUGCUCAGAGCUGAGAGCCAGUGUCCUGUCCUCGGGAUCUGAAGUGUCAGAGAAGGACCACAGAGAAGGACCACAACCUCCCAGCACUGACUUGCCCAAAGGAGGCUGUGUUUCUCACAUUGUCAUUUAUGCCUCUGAACUGAAAGCCUAAAAUAGCAAAUAGACAGUGGGGAUGAUCCAGUGACUCAACCAUCAGCAUUCACAGCAGUCACCUAAGAUAUCUGCUUCCUUUGGCUUCCAGAGAAACACAGACCACCCCAGGGGACAGCUUGGAAGCCAAAGGAAUGGUCUCUUUAUUGAAAUGAAGUUGCAAUAUGAGCACAAAUUCUGCUGUAUCUCUGGUCUUUUGUUCCUCAUAUGCAUAAAACAAACUCCCUGUUUCCUGCCUUCCCAAAUCAGGGUAAGUGUUCCUUCAGGGCAGGAAUCUCAUCCUUCCUGUUGUCCCUGAGCAGCAUCGUGGCGCGGGGCCAGGACAGUCCCCGGGCACAGUGACAGACCCCAGUGAGCUCUUACCACACCACAGAGACACAGAGGAGGAGGUGGAACUCGAGCUUAGAUGUGGGACUGAUAUUGUCCUGCCCAAACAAACCACCUGGAUUUAACAGCACAGAGCAGGGAGGAUUUCCACGUCCAUCAUCCCGCCGGGAAGAGCUUCACUCUGCUCCUCUGCUGCUUGUCCCUGUGUCAGCACAGGGAUUGAAUGAAGUGAUGGAGCUGCAGUUCAAAGAAUGUGUGCAGCCAAAAAUCAGCAACGAAAAUUACUUCACACGCUGCCUGCAAUUUCCAUACACAGGUCUUCAGUGCUUUGGUGGAUGGAAGGAAGGAAGCCUGGAGCAUGCAGAGGGGAAGAUGAGGCACUCGGAUACCAUGGUGAUGAGCAGCUGAGACCUUGUCUGCUGUGCCAGAGCCCGGCCUGGUAAAUGGGAUAUUCCUUGGAGGGAUGAGGUCCUCGCACAGACGAGUAGCUCUUCAGUCUUGUCCACAGCACAGAAAAGUGGUCACUGGCGGUGUUUGUGCUGCCUUGUGAGGACCUGAAAGCUGAAGACAAGACUCCUUCUCCUUUCAGGCAGAAUACCUGGAAUGUUGCCCUUAGCUAUGGUCACCUCCCCAAAGUCCAAGACCCUUUCUGUCCAUGGUGGCUUUGCAGCCAGCUCUCAGAUGCUUUUGUUGUUAUCAUCAGCCUUCAGGGAGAAACUUUAUUCUUUACUCCACACUCUGAAAACACCACGUUUGCAUCUCCAGGCAUCCUGUAGAACCACAUUGGGCCUCUUCUUGUCCCCUAAUUACUCCUUUAUGCACUUCUUCUGGUGUAUCACAGCUAUAAAGCCAGUUUAAGCAGCUGGUGGAAGAUUGCUGGCCUCUGGGAAGCCUGCUGUGAUAAAGAACCUCCAGUGUGGUCCCUGCACAUAGGAACUGAUGCCAGACCUUGAGGUCUGUGCCUGGGGGGAAAAGGGAAAAAAGACAAAUAGUAUGGCUGAGACAGAACUCCCUCCCUCAAAUGUGAGCUCCUGGUUUCUGGGAGUAAAUUAAAGCAGAAGGGUUAAUAACAAAUGCCAAAAUAGAUUUUAGACAACUGUGUUCUGGUUUAAAACUCUAUUUAAUUGUACAAGGCUUCAUUAAAUCCCUGGACACAGUUGAUCUGCUAGAGCUCACCUGAUUUUUCCAAGUCUUCUCUUCCCUCACUCCUUUCCUGUAUUUCCUGACUUCACACUCAAUCUAUUUGUAUGGCUGUUACAGCUUCUUGAGUUUAAAUUAAUCUUUUAAAGAAGGCUGAACCACAUGAACUUUCUUUUGGUUUUAGAAACCACAUCCAUAUUCAUAAUCCACUAAUCAUGUUUGAUAAAUCAGAAUUCAUUGUGAAACGCACUAACCCUUCAUGUUGCUUCACUUUUUAAUCUCGUGGGGAAAGCAAUCAUCUCUGCAAGGGGGUUGGGCUGGGCUGUCUUGGGUGUCUGCUUGAGUCAGCUUCCCUGUUUGUACCAUACAGCUUGUGCUUCUGGAUCUAAGCCAUCAUCUCAAAAUGUAAUUAAGUCUUCAGCACUUCAGGAGCAAGAGGAAUCUUCGCAGUGUGAAUCAAACACCAUCUUCUCAGUGAUGCUGGCCUGAGUCUGCCACUCCUCUGGGAGAGCAGCUCAGAGCUUUCUUCUCAUUCCAGAGGUGUAACCACACUGCAACCUCGAGAUCCCUUUUGCUUCCCAGUCACAGUGGUAAGAAUUGCACCUGCAGUCAAAGAACAAACAGAGCUGACUGUUUGUAGGGAUCAGUAGGGUCUGUUGUCAUUCAGUGGCUUCUUUAACCUGGCUACAGUUUGUGGGUAAGAGUGAGGAGAUGGCAUUUCUGCCCCUCAGUCAUUUGCACAGGAAUGUUCAUAUUCAGAUGUUUUCUAACUGUUUCCAAAUGGGGUUUUUUUUGCAACAUCAACACAAGUGCAAGUUUAGCUACCUCACCUUUUUUUUUUUUUUUAAUCCCCAUUGGUUCAUUAAUCCUGAUCUUUGGUCUAGAGGAGGAGUCUUCACAUGAGUCCAGAUCGUCUGAUCUGUUCUCUCUGCUUCUCCUGCCACCAGCUCCAAGAUGGUCCCUUCUUCCCCACAGGCUGAGACAGGAGCCCACAGAGGGGGAAGGACAGAGAUAAAGGGAAGUACUCUGGACCACGGGCCACCUCCUGAGGAUGGUGUCAAGGUGCUGGCUCCACUCCAUACACUGGAGCAGCUCUGCUUUCCCACACUCCCAAGUUUUGGGCUCCUGUGCUUUCCCAGAGAAAUACAGCUGUUAUUUGCCCAGGCAGAUUCUAAGCCUGCCACACUCAAUAAUUCAGUGGUGAACUUUGGAGCUGCGACCAGGUUGAAAAAAAAAUAACUUGCUUUAGUAAGUACGAAAUCCCCAUCCCUGCUGCCUUCGCCUCUCCCUCCCUCCUCCUCUCGGGCAGCCCCUGCGAUCCAACCACUCCCCGCUCUUACAGGGAGCGCAAAGGAAAGGCGGGCGGGGAGGGGGAAAACAUUCAUUUCCUCUCGGUGGGAUGUUUAUUGUUUUUCCUGCCCUCGGCAGCCCGAGGUCUCUGUCGUUUUCCGUGGCGUUUUACAAAGGGAACGGUUCUCGCAGGCACCGACGAGUUCAUCCGCAGAGACACCCGGAGCCUGGAGAUUCGAAUUUCCACCUCGCUGACGCCGCUGUAAUUGGGGCUCCCGGGAGAGGAAACCCUGACAAGUGACACAAAUAAACCCUGCCAGACCCCUCUCAAGACCUGCAGCACGGUAACCCCAGGAGGGCUCCCGUGAUCAAAUUACCCUUAAACAAAUGCUUCUGCAGGAGCCGAGGAUGUAACUGCUGAAGGUCAGCGAGGUGCACAUGGGACGUGUUUGCAGGGUUUUAGUCCCCAUCACCCGCUCCAAAUCAAAGACCAGGAGUUGCAGCACCGGCAAAAUGGAACUGGGGGAAGCUGCAAAGCUAAUUAAACCUCGUUUCUCCAAUUGUCUAGGAAUACAUUUAUUUAGGCCUUCCCUACGCCUCUAGCUAUUCAGGCAUAAUUACAGCAGCACUGUUUCCCUGAAUAUAAAUGAAUAAUAUAAAGCACACACGUUUUCUUUCCUGUGAACUGAAAUUUGGCAAGGUCUAUGACGUUCUUUUGGAGAGCUGAUGAAAACAUUUUGAAGAUGUCAGCAUCUCAGGUUAGGAAAGAUUGAUAGGCAGAUAGAUAUGGAAAUGCAGAUAUAUCCAUAGAUAUAGAUAUAUAAAAAUGAUUUACAGUUUGCUUUCUUUCUCCCACCCUUUUGCAUUAAGCUUUUUAGGGAAAUGACUUAUUGUAUAAAUACAUGUAAUUUCCAUGUAGGAGGAAAAAUAAUUAAUAUUGAUGUGAGUGUCAUUUAAACAGCUGGCAGAGAGUGUAUUUCAGGUGCUGCACUGCUUUAACUGAUGGUUAAAACAAGAAAAGUCCCCAUAACUGACUCAUAAACUGGUGUAAAAAUUCUGUACUGACCUUGUACAGACCACAAAUAGCUCCUUCUGACAAAAAUAGUAAGGCAGAAAUUACAGAUGUAAUACAAAAAUCAUGGGAUGAAAUUCUCAGACUGGAUCAUGUAGGAAGUUCAAAUUUGAAGACCAAAAGAGUUCAUAAUUAUUGAUUAAAUUAUUAUUAUAUGUUAAUUUAUUCUGGAUUUCCUCCAGAAGAGGCUGCUGGGUUUGAAACAUAAUCUUACUUAUUAGUUAGCACAGAGCUUUGCUGUAAGCCCAAGGCCUGGAAGAAUCUGUAAGUUCCACGAAAGCUUGAUGGGACUCAAGAACUUCAGAAAGAUUUUCUUAGAAGGAAUUAGUCAUGGUGUCAAGGGACUCCUUUGUUCCUUGCUGAUUGUUUGUCUCUUAGUCAUUAACUGAAGUUCACAUUCCUGGAAGGAGCCCUGUUGACAGCUCAUCUCUUGGGGUUUUGUUGCAGCAGAAGCAAGUCCUGGCCCUGGAUCUCCUGUCAUUCCAUCCUCUCUGUGAGCUGAACUCUUCCACAAGAGGAGCAGUUUGUGCCAAGAGGUUGGCAUUCCCAGGAACAAAAAUCCCAUUCCAGACUCAUCUCCCUGCAGCUUUUCAUAUCCCUGUAGUAAAGGACAAAGCCCAGGGACCUUUUCUUGGAUGACAUCCCAGGGGACGGGAGGAAAAUCUCCAGCCCUCAUCCCAUCCACGUGUCCCAGUGCAGGGAGUGUCCCAAAGGCAUUUCAAGGUCCUGAGGAGUCCAAAGUGUCCCAGGAGGUGCAGCCACCCUACCAUCAGCUCACACAUUCCCAACAGGCCCAAGUUUUCCUGCUGUCCCAGUCCCUCAGGGCCCCAGGCCAUGCUGUGCUGGUGGUAAAAAUCACGAUCACAGCAUCGGACUUUUGUGUGUUACCCUCAGCUCACAAUCACCAGAAGAUGAUUUAAUUGCAUGAGAAAAUGUUCUCUUUAAUCUUUUAGAAUUAGUCAUCUCUUCCUCAGUCAUCUCUCCAUAUUUUUGGUUAGAGAGACUGAAAAUCUUAAUAUAUCAGUGACAUUUAUAGCACAUGUUAAUAUUAUAAAACGUCAGAGCUCUAUUUGCAGAAAUGAAUACUGAUGUGAUGGGAGUGUUUUAUUAUGUCAGUGACUUUUAUUAUAAAUAUGAUAAAACUGUGUCAUCCUUUUUUUUUUUUUUUCCAAAUAAAAAAUAA